UACGAAGGGGGCUAGCGUUGCUCGGAAUCACUGGGCGUAAAGCGCACGUAGGCGGAUUGUUAAGUCAGGGGUGAAAUCCUGGAGCUCAACUCCAGAACUGCCUUUGAUACUGGCGAUCUCGAGUCCGGGAGAGGUGAGUGGAACUGCGAGUGUAGAGGUGAAAUUCGUAGAUAUUCGCAAGAACACCAGUGGCGAAGGCGGCUCACUGGCCCGGUACUGACGCUGAGGUGCGAAAGCGUGGGGAGCAAACAGGAU
rnacentral:rRNA from 1 species